UACGUAGGGUGCAAGCGUUGUCCGGAAUUAUUGGGCGUAAAGAGCUCGUAGGCGGUUUGUCGCGUCUGCUGUGAAAACGCGAGGCUCAACCUCGCGCCUGCAGUGGGUACGGGCAGACUAGAGUGCGGUAGGGGAGAUUGGAAUUCCUGGUGUAGCGGUGGAAUGCGCAGAUAUCAGGAGGAACACCGGUGGCGAAGGCGGGUCUCUGGGCCGAUGACUGACGCUGAGGAGCGAAAGCGUGGGGAGCGAACAGGA
rnacentral:rRNA from 1 species